rnacentral:rRNA from 1 species
ACUAAAGCUAGCCCAAACAACAAACAACUAAACUACUAAAACAAAAAUCAAACAAAACAUUUAGUUACAUACUAAAGUAUAGGAGAUAGAAAUUUUAAUCGGAGCUAUAGAGACAGUACCGCAAGGGAAAGAUGAAAGAAAAUUUAAAGUAAAAAACAGCAAAGAUUACCCCUUCUACCUUUUGCAUAAUGAAUUAGCCAGAACAACUUAACAAAGAGAACUUAAGCUAAGCCCCCCGAAACCAGACGAGCUACCUAUGAACAAUCCUCCAGGAUGAACUCAUCUAUGUGGCAAAAUAGUGAGAAGAUUUAUAGGUAGAGGUGAAAAGCCUAACGAGCCUGGUGAUAGCUGGUUACCCAAAAUAGAAUUUCAGUUCAACUUUAAACUUACCUAAAACCCACAAAAUUUUAAUGUAAGUUUAAAAUAUAAUCUAAAAAGGUACAGCUUUUUAGAUCAAGGAUACAACCUUACUUAGAGAGUAAAUACUAAAUAAACCAUAGUAGGCCUAAAAGCAGCCACCAAUUAAGAAAGCGUUAAAGCUCAACAACUUAAUUAACAUAAUACCAAAAAUCUAAAACUAACUCCUAACAUAAUACUGGGUCAAUCUAUCCAAUUAUAGAAGAGACAAUGCUAAUAUGAGUAACAAGAAACUUUUUCUCCUUGCAUAAACUUAUAACCGAAACGAAUACCCACUGAUAGUUAACAACAAGAUAAAAUCAACUAAACAAUUAAUACACCUAUCAAACCAAUUGUUAAACCAACACAGGAAUGCAACCAAGGAAAGAUUAAAAGAAGUAAAAGGAACUCGGCAAACACAAACCCCGCCUGUUUACCAAAAACAUCACCUCCAGCAUUACCAGUAUUGGAGGCACUGCCUGCCCAGUGACAUAAGUUAAACGGCCGCGGUAUCCUGACCGUGCAAAGGUAGCAUAAUCAUUUGUUCUGUAAAUUAGGACUUGUAUGAAUGGCCACACGAGGGUUUAACUGUCUCUUACUUCCAAUCAGUGAAAUUGACCUUCCCGUGAAGAGGCGGGAAUAAAACAAUAAGACGAGAAGACCCUAUGGAGCUUUAAUUAACUAAUCCAAUAGAACAUAAUCAACUAACCAACAGGAAACUAAAACCAUUCUAUAAUGGAUUAACAAUUUAGGUUGGGGUGACCUCGGAGAAUAAAACAACCUCCGAGUGAUACAAACCUAGACUAACCAGUCAAAGUAUCACAUCAUUAAUUGAUCCAAAAAUUUUGAUCAACGGAACAAGUUACCCUAGGGAUAACAGCGCAAUCCUAUUCAAGAGUCCAUAUCGACAAUAGGGUUUACGACCUCGAUGUUGGAUCAGGACAUCCUAAUGGUGCAGCAGCUAUUAAGGGUUCGUUUGUUCAACGAUUAAAGUCCUACGUGAUCUGAGUUCAGACCGGAGUAAUCCAGGUCGGUUUCUAUCUAUUAACCAAUUCCUCCCAGUACGAAAGGAUAAGAGGAACAAGGUCCACCUUAACAAAGCACCUUAGGACCAACAGAUGAUAUAAUCUUAAUCUAAACAGUCCAACUCCCCUAUAAGUCCAAGAAACAGGACUU